UGUGUAUGCUCAAGGCUCUGGGCCUCAGAGCAGCCCCCAUUGGGAUCAGGACACAUCAGAGCACCAAGGACACAUUGACUCACUCACCUCUUGCACUUUUAGAAAUAGAGUUGCAGUUAAGGUACGUGCUGAUGUCAAACACAAUGAAACCAUUACGGUGUUGCGAGUCGCCUGAGUGUUCUUUUGAAUUUAAUUAUUUAAAUGACCUACUAUUGUUUUUAAAUUAAAUUUUUAAGCUUGCUAAAUGGCUGCCAUCCUGGGUUAGUUGUUACAGUAUUGUGAUUGGUGUUGACAGAAAUGGAGUUGAUGCAAGCAUUGGGGGGAUCUCGACACUCUGCUUUCUGAGCACUGUAUGGGCCAGCCCUGCACUCGUGUGCAUGGGCACUGCUUGGAGACUUGUAGCUUGAGCUGCUGGAGCCAGCUAAGGCCUCACAGCCAGGGUUGCCAUGCCUUGUGCACAAAAACACAAAAAAAUGCAGCAUGGCAACCCCCUUUUAAGGACCACAGCUCUUCUUACCCCAUGUGCAAGUCCAAGAUGAAUGGCCUACCUGCCACAGGCACACAGAGAAAAGCUCUGCUAUUUUUUCUUGUAGACAGACAAAGCUUAGCCAAAAAUAGAGCUAACAGUGUUUAGUUCAGCCACUAGAAAUACAGACCCAUGCAAGUGUCAAAUGCACGUCUUCCCUGUAGUUCUGGACAGUGGAACCAAUGAUAACGCCUUUUGUUGUUUGUAACAUCAGAGCAUGCAAGUCAGCAGGAUUUAAUCAAACAUUUUCACAUAACUUUAUAAUUAGGACAAAAUAAUGCAUGAAUUCUUUUUCAACGCUACUGACGUCUGUUGCUCAGCAUUGCUAGUGUUUGAUUUAUUUCAGAUUAUUUUAUUUUAAAUGUCACGUACCCCUGGUGUAGAAGAGAUGACUCUCAAUAAAAGUCCAGGAUUGAGCUGCUCCUUUCAUUAUAAUAAUUGUAUUUACAAAGGGGCAGCAGGUUCCUCUCAUAUGGAGGAAUUUAAUCUGCUCUGCUGUUAGCAAUGUCCCAAAUUUAUUUUAUUUUUUCACCUAGUGAGUAGGUUAAAAAGUAAGAAGACAGCAUUCUCCCCAGGAGAGAGAUUCUCCCCAGGCAGAAUAUGUAUUUUAAAGUGACUGCCGUCAGUGUGAUGCGGUGAUAGACCUUCAUCCCUAAUGCAAGUGCUGGCAGCAGCCAAGGCAUCAUUUACUAGAAUAUAUCCGAGGCUGACUUUUUGUAGCUUUUUGUAGCAAUCUGAGUUCAAUUCAAACCAUAAUCAGCUAAUCACUGGCAAUUUUCAGAUAUGAGUCAAGCUAAUUUCAAGACAAUCAGCCUUAGAUAGUUUCAUUGAACAGCCCUGGAGAUGAUGUUUAUGUUGAUGUCCAUUAGUAUUGCAACUGACAGUAAUGCGUGCUCUGCAAAAAGGAAAACAACCAAAAAAUUAAACCUUCUCUGGAAUGAACAACUAAAAGUCUGUAAGUCUGAAGAAUAGGAAGUUUAUUUCUACACACUGAUGUUCCUCAGCAGGUGUUCUAACCCUAGAGUUGCUUUCAUGCAAAGAGGCAGCAUGUCAUUUCAGGAAUACUUAAUUACCCUAAUUUGAAAGCUUCUGUUCAGCACUGAUUUUUCAAAACAUGUGCUCUGUGGAAAAGCUGUGGAAACCAAAAAGAUGGUCAGAAUCUUGGCCACACUGUGUGGCUGUCACUUUUUUUUUAAGAGUUUUGAUUCAAACCACCUGUGACUUUGCUGACAUGCAUCACCAUGUUAUAUAAAUGAGCCUUUAAUGACCCUUACUUUCUUGAUUUUAUCUUUUUUCCCCCAUUACUUGAAUUUAUUUUCUUUUCAUAGACUAUGGAGUUAGAUAUGUGUAACAGCUCAUUUGCAGAGAAAUAUCCCCUACAAGACAGGAGGAUACUGCCUCUAAUCACACGGCUGAAGUGCAAUGUUGUGAGACUGAAAUGGACAACCGAACCAUAUGAUCAGCCUUCUUUUAUGAGAACACUAUGUCAGUCAGUCAGUUUAUGACCUGAAAUUGGAUGGGAAAAGUCUGAUCCUGGCCCUGCUGAAUGCAAAGAGUUUCAUUUUGCCAUUCUGUUUAGGAGAUACAGCUUUGGAGCUCCUGCCAUCACAUCCUCGACCUUUUGUGUGUCAUUACCUUGAGACUGAAGUUUUGCUGUCCCUCCCCACCUCCUGCUGGGAGCUGAGCAGAGCAGCACUGCGGGCACCCAGUGCCCAGGUCCUUCCUAUGUCAGAGGCCUCGGUGGGCUCAGCACAUCUUUGCAGCAGCAAGCAAGGGUCCCUCAGCACCAGCUCUGGAGGACACUGCCACCCUGGUGCCCUCUCUAAAGCUUAGCUGUAACCCCACCUAUGCAGACUCUGAUGCUAUCUCUCAGCUCUGGGCUGCCAGAGCUCUGGUGCUUGUCACUGACUGAUGCCAUAGAUGUGCUGCUAUGUCUAACAGCAGCUGUCUUCUCAUCCCAUCUGGGACAGAGAAGUGCCCUACAGAAGACGAGAUGGCCACCCAAACACCUGGAAAGUCUACAACAAACUUCAGCUGUCUCCAAAGCAAAAGCUUCAACUUGGAGUGCUUCCGGGGUGACUGAGGAAGGGGUAACCAGAGACACAGUUGUCUUAUAUGUGCUCUUGGUUACCACAACUUGUUUACUACCACUUGGUGCCUUAUGUCGAGAUAACCUGUAAACACAUUAGCAGGAGUCUAAAUAACAUUUAGGAAAAAAAUAUAGUAUCCGCCUAGCUGCUGAUCACUACAGCUUAUAAUUGUAAGUAUACCUUCUCUCAUCAUUACAACAAUCUGCUCAGUUGACGUCACAGUUAAGUCUCAUCUAUGUCAAAUUAUUUUCAAUAAUAUAAUCAAAAGGUUAUCUGUGGAUCAGACAAAAAUUAAUGAAUAAAAUGGUAUUUGCACUGAGUUGGCUGAGUGCUGCUAUAGAAUGUCUUAGGUUGGAAGGUCAUCUUAAAGUACUUCAAGAAAAAGUUUGUAUGCUAUAGGUGGCAGCUCAUGCAGGCUUCUAUCAUAGUAAAAAAAGGACUGAAUUUUCAGUACAACUGGUAUUCCUGCAACCUUAGUCGUGAUGUGUGGGAAGUCAGACUUUCCUAGCAAGGGACUACUUAGUGAAAAGCAAUUUCCAAGUAUGAGAUUUUCUCUCUCAAAUUCUGGUGAAAUCUUUAUACCUGACAUCUACAAACACACGACUAAGCAAUUGUUAACAUGUACUGAGGUAACAGAUCAUAAGACAGAGAAGUAAGAGGUGAAAGUAGUAGUGUUUAAAGACAUUAUUCAGAUCACAGUUCAAAGACAAUCUGUUCUUUUGGCAAAGCCUUGUGCAGUAGGACUUGUAGGUAAUACUUCUAGACAAAAACAGAUCACCUUCAACACUGGUUUAACACUGGCAAAUAACCAACAGCUCUAUGCAUCAUCACCACUUCUCCUGUGGAGUUCAAACUGAAGGUAAUUUGCAGUUAUACUUCCCUCCUCCCUCACUCCUUUUUAAUUUCAGGCCAUUGCUGAAAGUAUGCUCUUUGCUUUUCCUUGCAAAUAAGCUAAAUCUUGUCUCUUGCUUGCAAUGAUUAUGCAGUAUAAGUGUCAGUCAACUACAAGGAUAUUCAUUUAGUUGCACAUAAUAGAUAUUUGGACAAAUGAAACUGUACAGUUAAUUAUGACCAGGUGUGUUUUGAUACAGCAUUUAAGCCUUUGAAUUAUCCAUUAUGAUUUUGCUCACGUUUUUACUCUAACACAGUAAUUAGAAAAAUCACAGAUAGAUAGGUACGUAUACUGGUCAGUCUAGAGCCCUUCCUUCCUCCCUCUCUCCCACCUGACCCUACUCUAUCUAACCUACUCUACCUGACAACAUUCCCAACUAUCAGACAAACUUCAAAGAAUGAAAUGCAUGGAUUUUUUUUUCUAUUUUAUGUAUUUUCCUAAUGUUUGAGACCACUGUAAAAAAUCUUUCUAAGGAGAAGGAUUAAUGUUGUAAAAACAACUUCCUUAAAAAAAAAAUUAAA